GACGGAGGGUGCAAGCGUUGUUCGGAUUGACUGGGCGUAAAGGGCGUGUAGGCGGUCGGUCAAGUCUGGUGUGAAAGCCCGGGGCUCAUCUCCGGAAGUGCAUCGGAAACUAGCUGGCUGGAGCGCGAUAGAGGAGGGCGGAAUUCCUGGUGUAGCGGUGAAAUGCGUAGAUAUCAGGAGGAACACCGGCGGCGAAGGCGGCCCUCUGGAUCGUUGCUGACGCUGAGACGCGAAAGCGUGGGGAGCAAACAGG
rnacentral:rRNA from 1 species